rnacentral:rRNA from 1 species
CACCUCUUGAGAGCGGCGGACGGGUGAGUAAAGCCUAGGAAUCUGCCUGGUAGUGGGGGAUAACGCUCGGAAACGGACGCUAAUACCGCAUACGUCCUACGGGAGAAAGCAGGGGACCUUCGGGCCUUGCGCUAUCAGAUGAGCCUAGGUCGGAUUAGCUAGUUGGUGAGGUAAUGGCUCACCAAGGCGACGAUCCGUAACUGGUCUGAGAGGAUGAUCAGUCACACUGGAACUGAGACACGGUCCAGACUCCUACGGGAGGCAGCAGUGGGGAAUAUUGGACAAUGGGCGAAAGCCUGAUCCAGCCAUGCCGCGUGUGUGAAGAAGGUCUUCGGAUUGUAAAGCACUUUAAGUUGGGAGGAAGGGCAUUAACCUAAUACGUUAGUGUUUUGACGUUACCGACAGAAUAAGCACCGGCUAACUCUGUGCCAGCAGCCGCGGUAAUACAGAGGGUGCAAGCGUUAAUCGGAAUUACUGGGCGUAAAGCGCGCGUAGGUGGUUCGUUAAGUUGGAUGUGAAAUCCCCGGGCUCAACCUGGGAACUGCAUUCAAAACUGUCGAGCUAGAGUAUGGUAGAGGGUGGUGGAAUUUCCUGUGUAGCGGUGAAAUGCGUAGAUAUAGGAAGGAACACCAGUGGCGAAGGCGACCACCUGGACUGAUACUGACACUGAG